UUUUAUGGAGAGUUUGAUCCUGGCUCAGGAUGAACGCUGGCGGCGUGCCUAAUACAUGCAAGUCGAGCGAACGGACGAGAAGCUUGCUUCUCUGAUGUUAGCGGCGGACGGGUGAGUAACACGUGGAUAACCUACCUAUAAGACUGGGAUAACUUCGGGAAACCGGAGCUAAUACCGGAUAAUAUUUUGAACCGCAUGGUUCAAAAGUAAAAGACGGUCUUGCUGUCACUUAUAGAUGGAUCCGCGCUGCAUUAGCUAGUUGGUAAGGUAACGGCUUACCAAGGCAACGAUGCAUAGCCGACCUGAGAGGGUGAUCGGCCACACUGGAACUGAGACACGGUCCAGACUCCUACGGGAGGCAGCAGUAGGGAAUCUUCCGCAAUGGGCGAAAGCCUGACGGAGCAACGCCGCGUGAGUGAUGAAGGUCUUCGGAUCGUAAAACUCUGUUAUUAGGGAAGAACAUAUGUGUAAGUAACUGUGCACAUCUUGACGGUACCUAAUCAGAAAGCCACGGCUAACUACGUGCCAGCAGCCGCGGUAAUACGUAGGUGGCAAGCGUUAUCCGGAAUUAUUGGGCGUAAAGCGCGCGUAGGCGGUUUUUUAAGUCUGAUGUGAAAGCCCACGGCUCAACCGUGGAGGGUCAUUGGAAACUGGAAAACUUGAGUGCAGAAGAGGAAAGKGGAAUUCCAUGUGUAGCGGUGAAAUGCGCAGAGAUAUGGAGGAACACCAGUGGCGAAGGCGACUUUCUGGUCUGUAACUGACGCUGAUGUGCGAAAGCGUGGGGAUCAAACAGGAUUAGAUACCCUGGUAGUCCACGCCGUAAACGAUGAGUGCUAAGUGUUAGGGGGUUUCCGCCCCUUAGUGCUGCAGCUAACGCAUUAAGCACUCCGCCUGGGGAGUACGACCGCAAGGUUGAAACUCAAAGGAAUUGACGGGGACCCGCACAAGCGGUGGAGCAUGUGGUUUAAUUCGAAGCAACGCGAAGAACCUUACCAAAUCUUGACAUCCUUUGACAACUCUAGAGAUAGAGCCUUCCCCUUCGGGGGACAAAGUGACAGGUGGUGCAUGGUUGUCGUCAGCUCGUGUCGUGAGAUGUUGGGUUAAGUCCCGCAACGAGCGCAACCCUUAAGCUUAGUUGCCAUCAUUAAGUUGGGCACUCUAAGUUGACUGCCGGUGACAAACCGGAGGAAGGUGGGGAUGACGUCAAAUCAUCAUGCCCCUUAUGAUUUGGGCUACACACGUGCUACAAUGGACAAUACAAAGGGCAGCGAAACCGCGAGGUCAAGCAAAUCCCAUAAAGUUGUUCUCAGUUCGGAUUGUAGUCUGCAACUCGACUACAUGAAGCUGGAAUCGCUAGUAAUCGUAGAUCAGCAUGCUACGGUGAAUACGUUCCCGGGUCUUGUACACACCGCCCGUCACACCACGAGAGUUUGUAACACCCGAAGCCGGUGGAGUAACCUUUUAGGAGCUAGCCGUCGAAGGUGGGACAAAUGAUUGGGGUGAAGUCGUAACAAGGUAGCCGUAUCGGAAGGUGCGGCUGGAUCACCUCCUUUCUAA
rnacentral:rRNA from 1 species